GCCAAAGUGGGAGCCCAGGCAGAGGAGGCGCCGAGAGCUGCCAGUACGCUGUCACCUCUCAAUUGUCCCCUGCUAGAAUAACAGAGUAAUUGAUAAUCAUGGCCAUAAGAGGGGUGGGGGGGCAGAGUCAGGAAUUUCUGCACUAUGUGGCACAAGGAGCUCCCUGAGGCCUCUCCAGAAGCAGAUGCCAGCACCAUGCUUCCUGUAAAGCCUGCAGAACCAUGAGCCAAUUCUUCUUUUCUUGUCUUGCUGCUGCUCCCUCUUUGGGUCCGCACUGCCUUUAUGAGCUGUAACAGUCACCGCGAAGGUCUGCAGCUUCAAUCCUGAGGCCAGCGAGACCACGAACCCACCAGGAGGAAUGAACAACUCCGGAUGGGAGGAACGAACAACUCCGGAUGGGAGGAACGAACAACUCCAGACGCGCGCCGCUUUAAGAGCUGUAACAUUCACUGCGAAGGUCUGCAGCUUCACUCCUGAAGCCAGCGAGACCAUGAACCCACCAGAAGGAAGAAACUCCGAACACGUCCGAACAUCAGAAGGAACAAACUCCAGACACACCAUCUUUAAGAACUGUAAUACUCACCGCGAGGUUCGGCAGCUUCAGUCUUGAAGUCAAUGAGUCCAAGAACCCACCAAUUCUGGACACAGUAGGAUAGUGUGUUAUGAAGAUGUAUUUAUUAGGAGGUAAGCCUCCUCGAAAAAAUCAAAAGACCUUUGUUGCACCAAAUUCCUUGCUAUAAUGAUUCCUGUUAGAGUGAAACGCCUAUUUGCUUCCAGAGUAUAAAUUUCAUUCCAAUUGGAGGAAAAGGCUUAAAUGACUUCAAGAAACACAUUGUAAAUUUGCCACCUCUUUUGCAUUUUCCUGAGAUAUUUUCCUCAAGGAAUUGACGUGCAAAUCACCAAGGUCUACAUAUUUUUCCCAUUACCUACAAAAGUAGUGACUAUACCAAUUAGAAAUUUUGUUCACUAGUAAAAAAUCAAUAAGAGUACACUGCUUGGACACUUACAUAAGAAGUUAUAAUUUUUUUUUCUUUCUGAAUCAUUUCUCCUAAGCCGUUUUCUACUGACAGGAGUCUGUCUCUUCACAUUAGUGACAGGAAGAAAUAAUUAAGUGUAAGUUGUCACUUGUGAUCGGAAGAUCCAUGAAGUAAAAGUGAACUAAGUGGGGCAGAUGAAAUCCUGGCUGUCCUCUCUACAUCUGCUGAAAUAGACUUAGGAAUCAUCUCUGAAACAUUCCCACUUCUAAUUUCCAGAAUUUAUGUGGAUUACAAAUGAGAAUAAUCUAGAUUUUUCUUGUAGAAUCUUGAAGAGGCAUUCUUUAUUUUUAAUCACUUACCCUUAGGAAUAUCCUCAGAAUGUGCCUGAAAUUAGGACAAAUCUAUGUAUUAUAGUUAGAGUGAAAUAUUAGUAAUUGUUUAAUGUCACUACGCCUAACUUAACUGUUAGUGUGAAUUUUGAGUGGAUAAAUAAGGAAUAUUUAUUGCUCUCAUUGUUCAUUCAUUCAACAAGCAUUUAGUGAAUACCUUCCAUAUACCAGAGAUUUUUCAAGUAAUUGAGAAAAUAAAGAUAAUUAAGAUAGUUCACCUCAAGUUUCUCCCAGUUUAGAAGAAGAUAAAUUAGAAAAUUGAUGGUUAGAAUAUAGCAUGGUCAGAGCUAUGGGAAAAGAGAAUAUCAUAUGAGACUGGUGAACAGACAUGAGGAUGCAAUGCUUGUUCUUGGUCUGGAAGGAUACUUUGGAGCUAUUUAGGAGACUAAUGAUGGAAGACUUUGCUGGGUUGGGUAAAAUGUAGCAACUGCAAUAAUAGAGAAAAUUGCAGAAAAAAGGCCAGUGUCUGUCUAUUCUGGCUGCUGUAACAAAAAUACCCUAGACUGGAUGGCUUAUAAACAACAGAAAUUUAUUUCUCAUAUCUCUAGAUCCUGGAAUGUUCAAGAUUAAGGUGCUGGCUGAUUUAGUGUCUUUUGAGGGCCUGUUUCUUGUUGCUUCGUGGGAUGGUGUAAGGAACAAAGCAACUUUCUGGGCCAUCUUUUAUAAAGGCACUAAUACCAUGCACAAGGGCUCUGCACUUACGAUCUAAUCACCUACCAGAGGCCCCACCUCCUGAUAUCAUCACCUUGAGAGCGAGGAUCUCAACAUAUAAAUUUUAGGAGAACACAAAUAGACCAUAGUCACCAACAACUGCAAAGUCAAGUAGAUAUGAGGCUGCACCUCUGGGGAGCAGCAAGUAAUGUGGUCUAGCUGGGGAGAAGGGUAAGGAAGGAAUAAUGUAGGAGGUGAGCCUGAAGAAAGAGAGGCAAUGGUCAGAUCAUAAAGCCUCAAAUGCUUCCCUGAGAAGUUUGCAUUUUAUUCUGAAGAUUAUAGGAGGGCACUGUAGAUUUCCAAACAUGGCUAGUUUUGUAUUUUACAAGGAUUACUCUGGUAUUAAGAUAUUAGCAAGACUGGGGAUAAGGGACCAGUUAAGAAGAGAAAAAGAAGGAAUGAAGAUGCCCUCCCUUCAUCUCCAUCUUUUUAAUGGAAAGAUGGUUGUGCUUCUACCUGAAAAUGGAAAUAAUGAGAAGAAGCGACUUUCUUCUUUGGGAGGUGGAGGAUGAAGAGAAAGGCCAAGUUCAAUGUCACUGAAAACAGGACAGAAGGCUCUGAGCUAUGUGCUCUGCUAAGUGGAACUAUUUUGUUUACAUGCACCAACGCCCCAUUUGCAGAGAACCACGACGUAAUCAGUGCAAGAUACACAAAGGCAGGAAAGUUUCAUUGUAUUGAGCAGCAGUGACUGGACAUCUCUAACUGCAGCCAAAUUCUGCAGAUUAUCGAGAAAACAGUUUGCAAAGGAGUGAGAAAACGUCAUUCAAGAAAACUUUCCUGGUUUGGGUGGACAUAGCCGAAGUGGAUUUGAAUAUCUGUCUUUACAAGUCAAAAUUUAUACCAGGAAGCUCUAAUGAAAAUGGUGUCACUCAACAAAUCUAUAAGUAAAUUCAUUCUAAAGACUUAAUGAAUUCAUUCCCAACAUCUGGAACAUUAUUAAUUUCCUUUCAUUCUUUGCAACCUACAUAAUUAAAUUAAGAAAUUAUAAUUUAGGUCAGCCUGUUGUGAAGAGAUUUUAUUUAAUGUAAUCAGUCUUUAGAAGAGCCUGUUCCUAGUCACCUUUGUUGCCCUUUCAAGAACAUCAAAGCACUAUCUAGAGUGAUGAAAAGCAUGGCCUGUGAUGCUGGGUUGGAAGCCCAGCCCAGCCUGCCCCUCCUAUCACUAUCUAUGUGUGAAUUUGGUAAAUUGCUGAAACUCUAAGCAUUUGUUUCUCUAUCUUUAAAAAGGGGUCAUAAGAAUAGUAAUAACCUCACUGGGCAUUAGUGAGGAUCUGAUGAAUUCGUGUGAGCAAUGCCCUCUACCCAGUGCCUGACACAGUAACUGGUCAAUAAAAGAUUGUUUGCCAUGUUUGAAAAGUAAGCAGUAUAAUAUUUUUUACUAUAUAGUACUCUGUUGCCACAAUGUAACUAUGUAACUAGAGUUAAGUAGAAAUGCUCCUAUUGACAAAGAAUUUUGAUAUUUCUAGGAUGUGAAGCUGAUUCUACUUUGUUCUAUAAAAUCCUUCAAUGGUUUCCCAUAAUUUUGCCAAAAGUGUGCAAAACCCUCAUCGUGAUACACAGAUUAUCUCAUCAUCUUCCCUGCCCUCACUCCAUAUUUUCCCAGCUUUGUUCACUACACUCUGGGCUGGAAUAGAUGCACUAGACAUACGACACUGCUAAUUGCCCCUUGUCCAUGGCCGUGUUCCUUUGUAUAAGCUGUUGGCAACCCUCUCUUUGCCUUCCUUUACCUUCUGCCACACUUGUGCUCCUCUUUAU
rnacentral:lncRNA from 10 species